UUUAGUCAGCACGAUCGGUGGUGC
rnacentral:miRNA from 1 species